UACGAAGGGGGCUAGCGUUGCUCGGAAUUACUGGGCGUAAAGGGCGCGUAGGCGGAUGUUUAAGUCGGGGGUGAAAGCCCGGGGCUCAACCUCGGAAUUGCCUUCGAUACUGGACAUCUUGAGUACGGGAGAGGUGAGUGGAACUCCGAGUGUAGAGGUGAAAUUCGUAGAUAUUCGGAAGAACACCUGUGGCGAAGGCGGCCUUCUGGACAGUGACUGACGCUGAGACGCGAAAGCGUGGGGAGCAAACAGG
rnacentral:rRNA from 1 species